CUCCCCGUUCUCCUCCCCCUCUGAGCCUCUGGAUUGGCUGCCAGCGAGCCCAGAGCUCCGCCCCCUUCCUGCUGCUCAGAGGGAGGAGGAGAGUGAAAGUGGAGAACAGCAGCAGACGUGUUGCAACAGAUGGAUUCGGCUGCAGCGGCGGCUCGGCGGCUGCAGGGAACUCUGGGACGGCGCUGUGGAGGAGAACCUCUGCAGACGUUCUACAAGUUGUGGAUUUGAUCGCAGGACUUGAUGGAGCUGUGAUCGUCCUGCUGCUCCUCCUCCAGGAGAACACCUGCUGCCGGAUCCUGCAGGAGGCGCCGCGGCAGCAGACGUUCUCUGUCCAGCGACUGUCUGAACUCAGCAGGAGGCGAAGCAGCCACAGAUUAUUGAUUGUUUACUGUUGAACAGACUGUAAUGAGCAGCGUGGCCUCUAGAGGGCAGCGUCACCGACCGCUUCUCAGUUCAGAUCCAGAUUUGUUUUAUUGGCACGGCAACGAGCACAACGAACAGAACGGUGCAGACCGCUCACCGCGACCCCGACCCCCGACCCAUGACCCCUGACCUCUGACCUCUGACCUCUGACCUCU